CAGAUCAGGGUUUACCUUUAUUGUACAUAAUGCUGAUUUCUGCUGCUGCUGCUGCUGGAUCUCUCAUUGUAGUUGUAGUUGUGAUGGGCUGCAUCUGCAAAAAAUACAGAAAAACAGUCUUGACACGACAGGAAGACCGAACUCUUUCAGCGUUGUGUAAACCAACAGGAAGAACGACAAAGAUAGAAGCUGUGUAUGAAAAUGUCCCCAAAAAAAUGAUGAUCAGAUGACUGGAACUGAUGAUGAGUUCAUACAGGACAAUACCUCA